rnacentral:rRNA from 1 species
UACGAAGGGGGCGAGCGUUGUUCGGAUUUACUGGGCGUAAAGGGCGCGUAGGCGGUCUUGUCAGUCAGGCGUGAAAGCCCGGGGCUCAACCCCGGGAGGCGGGUGGAUACUGUCAAGCUCGAGUCCGGAAGAGGAGUGUGGAAUUCCUGGUGUAGCGGUGAAAUGCGCAGAUAUCAGGAGGAACACCAAUGGCGAAGGCAGCACUCUGGGACGUGACUGACGCUGAGACGCGAAAGCGUGGGGAGCAAACAGG